rnacentral:rRNA from 1 species
GACAUGUGGAGCUUCUAGAAGUGAGAAUGCCGGUAUGAGUAACGAAAGACAGGUGAGAAUCCUGUCCGCCGCAAGACUAAGGUUUCCUGGGGCAGGCUCGUCCGCCCAGGGUAAGUCGGGACCUAAGGCGAGGCCGAGAGGCGUAGUCGAUGGACAACAGGUUGAAAUUCCUGUACUGCACCGAAUCGUUAUGAGCGAUGGAGGGACGCAGGAGGCUAGCAGCGCGUGGUGCUGGAUACCACGUUCAAGCGUCAAGUCUGAGAGCGAGUCAAAUGCUUGCUCUCAUAAGGACAAGGCGUGAUGAGGAGCGAAAUUAAAGUAGCGAAGGCUGCGACGUCACACUGCCGAGAAAAGCUUCUAGCCAGAGACGGUGCACCCGUACCGCAAACCGACACAGGUAGUCGAGGAGAGUAUCCUCAGGUGAGCGAGAGAACUCUCGUUAAGGAACUCGGCAAAAUGGCCCCGUAACUUCGGGAGAAGGGGCGCUGGUCGCAAGAUCAGCCGCAGUGAAAAGGCCCAAGCAACUGUUUAUCAAAAACACAGGCAUCUGCAAAAUCGUAAGAUGAAGUAUAGGUGCUGACACCUGCCCGGUGCUGGAAGGUUAAGAGGAGAGCUUAGCGCAAGCGAAGGUUUGAAUUGAAGCCCCAGUAAACGGCGGCCGUAACUAUAACGGUCCUAAGGUAGCGAAAUUCCUUGUCGGGUAAGUUCCGACCUGCACGAAAGGUGUAAUGAUUUGGGCACUGUCUCAACGAGAGACUCGGUGAAAUUAUAAUACCCGUGAAGAUGCGGGUUACCCGCGACAGGACGGAAAGACCCCAUGGAGCUUUACUGCAGUUUAAUAUUGGGUAUCUGUCAAGCAUGUACAGGAUAGGUAGGAGCCGGAGAAGAUAGGACGCCAGUCUUAUCUGAGGCGCUGUUGGGAUACUACCCUUGCUUGACGGAUGCUCUAACUCAGGCCUGUGAUCCAGGCCGAGGACAGUGUUUGACGGGCAGUUUGACUGGGGCGGUCGCCUCCUAAAGUGUAACGGAGGCGCCCAAAGGUUCCCUCAGAAUGGUUGGAAAUCAUUCGCAGAGUG